UCAUUUGCAGACGGAAGGAAUCCAGAGAGUACUUGUUGCGAGCCAUACGGCGGCGGCAGCGUCCCGUAGCUGUCAAAUAUUGCGCACAGCCUCCAGUCGUCAGUCAGUGGAGUAACCCAGACUAAUCCAUCAGGCAAACACCUCGGAAGACUGACGUUUUUUUAUUUCCACUAAAGAGUCUCCCCGAUAGGAUCGGAAGCUACUCUUUAAAUCUUAAUCUUUUUUUUAAUCUCCCUUUUCUUUUGUCACAUGGCUUUGAAGAAUUCAAUAACAACAAAAAAUGGCGACAAUCACGUUGCUCUGUGUGGUCUUGCUGCGUCAUUAAAAAUAUUCAUGUAAACACGGGGAAAUAAACGAGACUGAAAUAAACAAUUGUUGUGGAAUGAGAUGACUACAGUCCGGACAUAACGUGGGAAUGACAAAUGAAGUGGAGCCACCAAUGCUCCCAGACCUGACAGGCUGCCCUGGUUCAGUUAUCACAGUGCUGAUGCUGUCCCCAUCGAAGGUACAGUACUGUGAUAACUGAAGGAUGGCUGCCAACUUGACACUGGUGUGAUGAUCCGCAGUUGGAGAGUUGUAAAUAUGUAAUCAAUGCAAAACUUUUGUGUGUAAAAUCAUUAAAGUUUUCUAACAAAAUAGAAA